AGCAGUAGCCGCGGGAAUACGGAGGGGGCUAGCGUUGUUCGGAAUUACUGGGCGUAAAGCGCACGUAGGCGGCUUGGUAAGUUAGAGGUGAAAGCCCAGGGCUCAACCCUGGAAUUGCCUUUAAGACUGCCGAGCUAGUAGGUGAGAGAGGUAAGUGGAAUUCCGAGUGUAGAGGUGAAAUUCGUAGAUAUUCGGAAGAACACCAGUGGCGAAGGCGGCUUACUGGCUCAUUCUAGACGCUGAGGUGCGAAAGCGUGGGGAGCAAACAGGAUUAGAUACCCCAGUAGUCCCUGUCUCUUAUAC
rnacentral:rRNA from 1 species